rnacentral:rRNA from 1 species
CCUACGGGAGGCAGCAGUGAGGAAUAUUGGUCAAUGGGCGGGAGCCUGAACCAGCCAAGUCGCGUGAGGGAAGAAGGUACUGAGGAGUGUAAACCUCUUUUGCCAGGGGACAAAGGCGGCCACGGGUGGCCGUAAGAGGGUACCUGGAGAAAAAGCAUCGGCUAACGCCGUGCCAGCAGCCGCGGUAAUACGGAGGAUGCGAGCGUUAUCCGGAUUUAUUGGGUUUAAAGGGUGCGCAGGCGGCGUGUCAAGUCAGCGGUAAAAUGUCGGGGCUCAACCCCGGCCGGCCGUUGAAACUGUCGUGCUCGAUUUGGCGAGACGUAUGCGGCAUUCGUGGUGUCGCGGUGCUAUGCCUAGAUCUCACGCAGAACCCCGAUUGCGAAGGCAGCAUACCGGCUCCUCACUGCCGCUGCUGCACGAAAGCGUGGGUAUCGAACAGGAUUAGAUACCCGAGUAGUC